rnacentral:misc_RNA from 1 species
CUCUUGCCGUCAAGUUCCCCACCGAUCUGGGGGUCGACACAAUUAGGGGAGAGCAGACUGUAGCUAGAGAAUGCUAUGUUGCAUCACUUAAAGAAGUUAAGCUUAAGGAAACCAUGAUCAUUGAAGGACUUGACAUCAGGGACGAGGAUGAGCUGGUCAGGGGGGAACUAGUGGAAGAGCUUAUCGAGGUCUCCAUCGACCCCACCAACCCAGCAAAAACUGCCAAACUGUCUCCCUAGGCCAAGACUGACCUCACCGCCCUCCUGAUUAAGCACAACGACGUGUUUGCUUGGACUCACUCCAAUAUG